rnacentral:lncRNA from 1 species
UUUUCCCUUCAGAAAAAAUAGCAAGAGUUUGAGACUUGGGUUUUCUUCUUUGCUAUUACCUUUGACAUCAUAUGAUAAAUAACUUUAAUUUUAAUAAAAAAUCAGUCACUAUAAAGAUUAUGGUAACUUUACGGUCAAUGGAGAUGAAAUAUGUGAUCAGAAUUUGCAGGAAAGGAAAUAUGGACAGGUUCAAUUUGCCGUAAGUCUCAUCUAACUAAAAGUCUAUUUCAUGUAACCUGAUAAAUUCAGUAUACUUUUAUUUAGCAUUCUAGUUUCUGUACCUUGGAGAAAGAACUACUCUAAGUAAUUGGGUGCUUUUAUAAAAGAUGGGCUGAUAUUAAUAUGAAUAGAGAUGAGGAUAGGGGACCACCAAACCACUUAUUAAGUUGGGCCUAGAUACAUUAGAGAAUAGAGAGAAACUCUACCCAAAAAAACAUUGGCAAGAAAGAAAGAAAGUUACAUAAGAGACACCUUGGGAGAAAUCUUAGGAGCUUGUUAAUAGUGGAAUGUUAGGAUAAGAUUUAAUUAGAGGAGAAAACUCUUUCUUUAUUUGCACUAAUGAAAUUUAUCAUAGGAAGGUUGAUUUGGUUGGAACUAAUGUGUGUUUGUGUGUUUUUUGGGGCGGUUGGGAGAGGGGGUGCAGGGGGUACCAUGGCCCCCUAGUACCACCCUUGUAUAUACUCAAUCUCAUUCAUGAGCUAAAUUAAAUUAGCCUUCAAUUAUAAUAGGAAAACACAGGCAUGCAAGAGAAAAGAGUUACUAACAACAUCACCACUCCAUCGAGCAGCCACAUCAAGAGCUUCACCUAGCACACCGCUAAACUUGGGACGGAGCACUGAUAACAAUCCAUGACCCCGUCUUUUUUGAAAGUUAAGCUGGAGCUCUGCCUGCAUGUACACAAGUAUUCUUUGGAUUAAGAAUGGUUAGAUGU